UACAGAGGUCUCAAGCGUUGUUCGGAUUCAUUGGGCGUAAAGGGUGUGUAGGUGGCGCCGUAAGUCGGGUGUGAAAUUUCGGAGCUUAACUCCGAAACUGCAUUCGAUACUGCGGUGCUUGAGGACUGGAGAGGAGACUGGAGUUCCUGGUGUAGCGGUGAAAUGCGCAGAUAUCAGGAGGAACACCGGUGGCGAAGGCGGGUCUCUGGGCCAUAACUGACGCUGAGGAGCGAAAGCGUGGGGAGCGAACAGG
rnacentral:rRNA from 1 species